UGGGGAAUAUUGCACAAUGGGCGCAAGCCUGAUGCAGCAACGCCGCGUGAGGGAUGACGGCCUUCGGGUUGUAAACCUCUUUUAGCAGGGAAGAAGCGAAAGUGACGGUACCUGUAGAAAAAGCGCCGGCUAACUACGUGCCAGCAGCCGCGGUAAUACGUAGGGCGCAAGCGUUAUCCGGAAUUAUUGGGCGUAAAGAGCUCGUAGGCGGUUUGUCGCGUCUGCUGUGAAAUCCCGAGGCUCAACCUCGGGUCUGCAGUGGGUACGGGCAGACUAGAGUGCGGUAGGGGAGAUUGGAAUUCCUGGUGUAGCGGUGGAAUGCGCAGAUAUCAGGAGGAACACCGAUGGCGAAGGCAGAUCUCUGGGCCGUAACUGACGCUGAGGAGCGAAAGGGUGGGGAGCAAACAGGCUUAGAUACCCUGGUAGUCCACCCCGUAAACGUUGGGAACUAGUUGUGGGGUCCAUUCCACGGAUUCCGUGACGCAGCUAACGCAUUAAGUUCCCCGCCUGGGGAGUACGGCCGCNAGGCUA
rnacentral:rRNA from 1 species